AAACAUCGCCUCCUGCAAAAAUCAAUGUAUAGAAGGUCCUACCUGCCCAGUGACUAUUAGUUAAACGGCCGCGGUAUUUUGACCGUGCUAAGGUAGCGCAAUCACUUGUCUUUUAAAUGAAGACCUGUAUGAAUGGUGUGACGAGGGCUUAUCUGUCUCCCUUCUCUGGUCAAUGAAAUUGAUCUACCCGUGCAGAAGCGGGUAUGCAAAUACAAGACGAGAAGACCCUUUGGAGCUUAAGACAAAAAGCCAACCGUGUUAAGAGCUCCUAAUAAAAAUAAGCCAAACAAAACAGUAACUGGCCAACGUCUUCGGUUGGGGCGACCGCGGGGGAAAACUAAGCCCCCACGUGGAUUGGGAAAACAUUCCUAAAACCAAGAGAGACACCUCUAAGUCACAGAACAUCUGACCUAAAGACCCGGCCUAUGGGCCGAUCAACGAACCAAGUUACCCUAGGGAUAACAGCGCAAUCCUCUUUAAGAGUCCAUAUCGACAAGAGGGUUUACGACCUCGAUGUUGGAUCAGGACAUCCUAAUGGUGCAGCCGCUAUUAAGGGUUCGUUUGUUCAACGAUUAAAGUCCUACGUGAUCU
rnacentral:rRNA from 1 species